rnacentral:rRNA from 1 species
GAUGAACGCUGACAGAAUGCUUAACACAUGCAAGUCAACUUGAAUUUGGGUUUUUAACUUAGGUUUGGGUGGCGGACGGGUGAGUAACGCGUAAAGAACUUGCCUCACAGCUAGGGACAACAUUUGGAAACGAAUGCUAAUACCUAAUAUUAUGAUAAUAGGGCAUCCUAUAAUUAUGAAAGCUAUAAGCGCUGUGAGAGAGCUUUGCGUCCCAUUAGCUAGUUGGAGAGGUAACGGCCCACCAAGGCGAUGAUGGGUAGCCGGCCUGAGAGGGUGAUCGGCCACAAGGGGACUGAGACACGGCCCUUACUCCUACGGGAGGCAGCAGCGGGGAAUAUUGGACAAUGGACCGAGAGUCUGAUCCAGCAAUUCUGUGUGCACGAUGAAGUUUUUCGGAAUGUAAAGUGCUUUCAGUUGGGAAGAAACAAAUGACGGUACCAACAGAAGAAGUGACGGCUAAAUACGUG